GGGAAGUGGCUUUGCAUUUCAGAGUGGGACCCAGUGCCUUAAGGUAAGUGUGGUUCCCAGAGGCAUCUGCAGCAGUCUGGGGACCCCUCUCUUUUUGGCCUCCUUCUGAAGGCCAGCAGACCCUUCACAGGUGGCCACUCCCAGCCACAAGAUAUCCCAUCCCCAAUAUCAUGUCCACCCCCUCCAUCCUCUUCUCCUUAGGUAUGCCCCAUCUCCACUACCACCAGCUUGCAUCUCCACUACCACAGUAUGCAAGAGCUUGCUAUCCCUCUGCAAGGACACACAGGUGCUCUUCGUCUACUACGCACUGCCACCUUUUCCCAUCUCUGAAUUGUAGGCACAUCUCCUAUCUCAAGGCCUCACUGGAAACAAAGCCAAGGACACCUGCGCCAGAGUGGCGGGAGGAUGAUGAGGUGGCUAGCAAGAGAGGGAAUAAUCAUGGUGGGAACCUCUGAGAGGACCCAAGCUCUAUGAUGAAGAUUUUUAUUAUGAAG
rnacentral:lncRNA from 10 species